CGAACGCUGAAAUUCCAUCUUCUGUUUGUUGUCACCCGCCGGCCUGUUUCCAUGGUUACCUAGAUUCCAGGCGCUGGCCCAGGGCCCACCACAACCCAUCCCUCAAAGUCUCCCUGGCCGAGGAGAGGCAUUCCUUCUUGGUGCGGACGCCAGAAAGGAGCGGCGUCUGCCCCUCCAGCCCCGCUCCUCCCCCGGCGAGUGCGUGAUGUGCGCCUUCUAGGUGGUUCUGUUUAGCAUCAGUUUUGGGGUAUUUCUCUUUGACAGAUGCCUCGAGGUGGAAUGCUGGGUUGGAUGCCAUGCACACUGAACGCUCCGAUAGAUCCUGACGAAUUGCUCUAAAAGAUGGCUGCUCCAAAAUACACAGCCUCCAAGAGACAGCCCGUUUCCCCUCACCCUCACCCACAGUGAAUUCUAUCAGUCAAUUUUUAAGUGUUCACAUUGUGAUGAAGGAGAAAUGAUUUCAUUGUUGGUUUAAUUUGCAUCUGUCUGAUUAUUAUUAGGGUUGAUCAUUGUGUCAGAGUCCAGCUACAAAUGAAAGAAGCCACUCUGGUUAAGAAAAGGGGUGGGGGAACUACUUGAGUUAAAAUAGGGGAUCAGGUGCUUAUAAUUUUGUCAGAUCUGGUGGAAGAGCAGGUUCUAGUUUGAGCUUCUAGGAUCGACUCCCAGAACUCCAGCUCAGAACCCACCCACCAAAGGAGUCUCCUCUUCUGCCAUGACCAGGAAACUGGGGAUUCGGGAAGCUGUGCCCCAACAGCUGACUCUCCAUUCUGGAAACCAGGAAGCCUCAGCCACACCUGGUCUCCAGGAGCACACUGCCUCAGCUGCCCUGAUCCUGCCCACAUCACCAUGCAGCUGGAGACUGCAUCUAGAUGCUAGAUCUCUGCUGUGUUGAUGCAGGAAAAAAACCAAACCAGACCAAACCAAACACAAAAAAUAAUGACCCCCUUUAACCCUGUGUGCCACCAGACUCUGUAGGUCUCUUGAGGGUACAUCUGCCCUGGGGAAACCAGGUCAUAUGCAGAAGCUCAGCUCUAAGGGAACCUGGGAAUUGUAGCUUUCCUGGCUCCAGUAUGCAGCAAGGCAAGCUACAAAGGUGUAGAUACGGAGUUGAGUGUAUCGAUCUGAAAUAUCUGCCAUGAUCAUGUUUUCAUGUUUUGUAUCUUCUUUCUGUGAAUUGCCCACUUAUACUUCUUGCCCAUUUUUCUAUUUGAGUUAUCUUUUUCUUACUAAUUUAUAGAAGCUUUAUGGGUUACCUGGAAAAUAACCUUUUGUCUGUUAUAUAUAUUAAGACCACUUUCUAGUCUUUUAAAGUUACAUCUUUUGUCAUGUAGAAAUAUCAAGUUUAUCUGUUUUUAUAAUUUCUGAUUCCUAGGUUUAGUAGCUUACUUAAGAAGGCCUCCUCUAUCUCAAGGUUCCU
rnacentral:lncRNA from 1 species